AUAAUCAUUAGUCUUUUAAUUUGAGACCGGUCUGAAAGAGUAAACCAGGAGAACAUUUUUUCAACUGAAAGAAUAAAUUUUACUUUUUAGUAAGAAGGCUAAAAUUUAGCUUUUAGACAAGAAGACCCUAUAAAACUUUAUAUUUUUACUUCCUUUGAUNNGAAAGGAGAAAUAUUUUACUGGGGCGGUGGAGAAAAANANNGCUUUCUUUAUAAAAAAAGACAAACAUGUUUUAAUACCUAGAAAUUCUAAAGAAGGAAUAAGUUACUUUAGGGAUAACAGCUUAAUUUACUUAGAAAGAUCAAAUUGACAAGUAAGUUUAUGACCUCGAUGUUGAAUUAAAAGUCCUUU
rnacentral:rRNA from 1 species